UACGUAGGGUGCGAGCGUUAAUCGGAAUUACUGGGCGUAAAGCGUGCGCAGGCGGUGAUGUAAGACAGAUGUUAAAUCCCCGGGCUCAACCUGGGAACUGCAUUUGUGACUGCAUCGCUGGAGUACGGCAGAGGGGGAUGGAAUUCCGCGUGUAGCAGUGAAAUGCGUAGAUAUGCGGAGGAACACCGAUGGCGAAGGCAAUCCCCUGGGCCUGUACUGACGCUCAUGCACGAAAGCGUGGGGAGCAAACAGG
rnacentral:rRNA from 1 species